UUAAGUUUUUAGGUUAUGAAAUUUUAUAUUGAUUUUUUGUUGAAGUUAUAAUUAGCGGCACAUUGGGAUUUUUUUUAUUUGUUUACCAAUAUCAUUUACUAUUAUUAGAUAUUUAGUGAUAUUUGUUUAGUAAUGUUUAACAUAUUAAUUAAUUUAAUUUCAUAGGUUGUGAUUUUUGUGGUGAGAUUUUAGAGAGUAUUUUGCAUCAAAAUUCCAAUAUCAAUCACACAUUUGAGCGAAUUUGAUUACUAAGUGAAGUAACUUUGCUAGCUUUUGGAUUAAAGAUUGCAAGAGAAGAAUAUAUGGAUAAACAGUGGAUGUCAGCAAAUAGGUUAUCUGCGGAAUUUAGGAACGGGGUUGAUUUGUUCUUAAGGUUUUGUUCGGAAAAUGUGAAAGACCCAAAUUUUACUUAUUGUCCAUGUCUUAAGUGUGGAAAUGUUAAAAAGAUGGAUCUUAAAAAGAUUAAAGAACACUUAUAUUUCAAUGGGAUCGACAAGAGUUACAGAAUUUGGUAUUACCAUGGGGAGAUAGCUCCGAU